AUUGAACGCUGGCGGCAUGCCUUACACAUGCAAGUCGAACGGUAGAGGGGGCAACCCCUCGAGAGUGGCGAACGGGUGAGUAAAGCAUCGGAAUGUGCCCAGUAGUGGGGAUAGCCCGGCGAAAGCCGGAUUAAUACCGCAUGAGACCUACGGGUGAAAGGGGGGGAUCGCAAGACCUCUCGCUAUGGGAGCGGCCGAUGUCAGAUUAGGUAGUUGGUGGGGUAAAGGCCGACCAAGCCGACGAUCUGUAGCUGGUCUGAGAGGACGACCAGCCACACUGGGACUGAGACACGGCCCAGACUCCUACGGGAGGCAGCAGUGGGGAAUUUUGGACAAUAGGCGCAAGCCUGAUCCAGCCAUGCCGCGUGCGGGAAGAAGGCCUUCGGGUUGUAAACCGCUUUUGUCAGGGAAGAAAUCCUUUGAGCUAAUACCUCGGGGGGAUGACGGUACCUGAAGAAUAAGCACCGGCUAACUACGUGCCAGCCGCCGCAGUAAAAC
rnacentral:rRNA from 1 species